ensembl:lncRNA
UCGCGCUACACUUCCACGAAACAGAUUUAAUUGAGCCUUUAUAGUAUGCUUAUUGAUUCAUUCAUUAAAAGUGGAUGCCUUUUUCGGCAUGCAUUCCACAAUGGGAAUUCAGCUAUUGACCUUGUGAAAGUUUGGGAGGAGUACAGUUAUUAUGGUCACAUGAUGGAUUACAGUCCUAAUUCCUCUCCAAAAGAUGAUCUGGAGACCUUCCACAGUGCCCUGCUGAAAAAUACCCCAUAACGUUGGGCAAUUUCUGUGCCUCAGUCUAGCAGCAGGGGACGUAUGGAUGGAAGCGAUGGAACCUUGGGUGUCAAACCCUGUUUACAACAGGGCUUGCUGUGUUUAGUCUCUUCAUUCCAGAAUGCCUUCCAUCAUUCUUUGGAAUUUACUGUACCUUUUUGUUGUUACAGUAUAUUUUAUGCUGCCAUUUGCAAUACUAUGUAAAAGUUCUGAGUGAGUCCCUAAUAUAUUCAGUCAUUGGUAAGCCUGCAAUCUGGUUUCUCUUUGUUUGCUUGAUAGUGAUGUUAUUGCCACUACACAUACCUAGACAUAAUGUACUGAUCUUCAACAUCUCAUAUUAUUUCUGCUUCUUACAAUAAAUCCUUGU